AGAAAACCCCCUGGUACGGAAAGUCACUCCACCUCUUUCACUGGACAGAAGGGGGGAUCAUUCUGCAACGAGAGGAUGCUCGACUAAGGUAAUGCCUCCUGUAGAAUCGAAUGACAAAAGUCAUACUGUUGGAUUUACAAAGGUCAGCCCAAUUAGUAUAACCAAGGCAAACAGCUGUGCCUUGUCAAAGCCCUCAGAGACACAGGAUAGCCAAGUUGGCAUGAGUAAACCUGAUGUUGUAGUCAGCGAUACAAACUUGAAACUGACAAACGGGACAGACCUGGCACUGAAAGCUAAAGAGGAGGCCUCUACUGAGAGGCCUACAAAAGGAGACGUGAACAAGGCAGAGCAUGAGAUGACCAUCAGCUCUGACAAACUCUUCCCAGUAGCUCUGCAAUAUUGUCCACCCACAGCAAGUUCUGAGCAACAGGACUAUGGCAAGAUAAUCAGUGAUGGCCUCCAGACCCCAUGCCUUCCUCCCAGGUCACAAAGUUCAGUGGGGCCUCUGUCUGCUUGCGUCCUAACGGUUGCUUCAACACCCAUGGUUCCCUCAUAUUAUUACAAACCCAGUCCGCUGGGUUACCAGACAAUCUCUCCUCAUAUUGGAGCCGUUCAUGGCUAUGUUCAAGGGCCUGUCAUGUUUCAAACACCUCUUUACAACCAGCCCUCUGCAUCAAACAGUCAUACCCCCCUACUGAGAUCCCUCUCUGAGGAUGGAACAACGUUAGUGCAGCCAACAGAUGGCUCAACCAGUCAAGCUCAGAACGGGGAAGCAGGGAUGAAAAUAUCUUCUCCAGAAAGCCAACACAACACAAUCUUUGUUGCUCCCAUGAGUGCAGAAGCCAGGCUUGGGGUUACAGGUGUGCUGUAUCCAGACGCAGGAGGAAGUGUUGCAGCAGGACAAACCCCCCGCCAACUGUUGCUCGACCCGGAAACCGGCAGCUAUUUCUAUGUGGACUUGCCUCAGCUGCCACAGCGCAAGAUGCUGUUUGAUCCAGAAACUUGCCAGUAUGUCGAGGUCCUACUGCCACAGCAGACGCUUCCCAGUGCCGUUUUGCCCACACCCUGUGCCAUACCCUUUGCCUCUCUUCACAUCCCACCCAUGUACACCCCACAGUGCUUACCUUACGUACAGUCACAUCCUCAGGUGCUCCCACCACCAGGACAAUGAAACCUGAUGGGACCUAUAGACUGUAAAAGACAAUAAGUCAUGCCCAAG
rnacentral:lncRNA from 1 species